rnacentral:rRNA from 1 species
GACGAACGCUGGCGGCGUGCUUAACACAUGCAAGUCGAACGGAAAGGCCCUGCUUUUGUGGGGUGCUCGAGUGGCGAACGGGUGAGUAACACGCGAGGAACCUGCCCUUGACUUUGGGAUAACUUCAGGAAACUGGGGCUAAUACCGGAUAGGAGCUCCUGCUGCAUGGGGUGGGUUGGAAAGAUUCGGCGGUUGUGGCUGGACUCGCGGGUUAUGAGCUUGAUGGUGGGGUAGUGGCGUACCAAGGCUUUGACGGGUAGCCGGCCUGAGAGGGUGACCGGCCUCCUUGGGCCUGCGGUACGGCCCAGACUCCUACGGGAGGCAGCAGUGGGGAAUAUUGCACAAUGAGCCGACGCCUGAUGCAGCAACGCCGCGUGCGGGAUGACGGCCUUCGGGUUGUAAACCGCUUUCGCCUGUGACGAAGCGUGAGUGACGGUAAUGGGUAAAGAAGCACCGGCUAACUACGUG